UACAGAGGUCCCAAGCGUUGUUCGGAUUCAUUGGGCGUAAAGGGUGCGUAGGCGGCGGGGUAAGUCUGGUGUGAAAUCUCGGAGCUCAACUCCGAAAUUGCACUGGAUACUGCUCUGCUAGAGGGCUGGAGAGGAGAUCGGAAUUCACGGUGUAGCAGUGAAAUGCGUAGAUAUCGUGAGGAAGACCAGUGGCGAAGGCGGAUCUCUGGACAGUUCCUGACGCUGAGGCGCGAAGGCCAGGGGAGCAAACGGG
rnacentral:rRNA from 1 species